rnacentral:rRNA from 1 species
CUACGUAGGGGGCGAGCGUUGUCCGGAAUGAUUGGGCGUAAAGGGCGCGUAGGCGGCCCGGUAAGUCUGGAGUGAAAGUCCUGUUUUUAAGAUGGGAAUUGCUUUGGAUACUGUCGGGCUUGAGUGCAGGAGAGGUAAGUGGAAUUCCCAGUGUAGCGGUGAAAUGCGUAGAGAUUGGGAGGAACACCAGUGGCGAAGGCGACUUACUGGACUGUAACUGACGCUGAGGCGCGAAAGUGUGGGGAGCAAACAGGAUUAGAUACCCUGGUAGUCCACACUGUAAACGAUGAAUGCUAGUUGUAGGGGGUAUCGACCCCUUCUGUGCCGCAGUCAACACAAUAAGCAUUCCGCCUGGGGAGUACGGCCGCAAGGUUGAAACUCAAAUGAAUUGGCGGGG